rnacentral:rRNA from 1 species
GACGGACGCUGGCGGCGUGCUUAACACAUGCAAGUCGAACGGAAAGGCCCUGCUUUUGUGGGGUGCUCGAGUGGCGAACGGGUGAGUAACAUGUGAGUAACCUGCCCUUGACUUUGGGAUAACUUCAGGAAACUGGGGCUAAUACCGGAUAGGAGCUCCUGCUGCAUGGUGGGGGUUGGAAAGUUUCGGCGGUUGGGGAUGGACUCGCGGCUUAUCAGCUUGUUGGUGGGGUAGUGGCUUACCAAGGCUUUGACGGGUAGCCGGCCUGAGAGGGUGACCGGCCACAUUGGGACUGAGAUACGGCCCAGACUCCUACGGGAGGCAGCAGUGGGGAAUAUUGCACAAUGGGCGGAAGCCUGAUGCAGCAACGCCGCGUGCGGGAUGACGGCCUUCGGGUUGUAAACCGCUUUCGCCUGUGACGAAGCGUGAGUGACGGUAAUGGGUAAAGAAGCACCGGCUAACUACGUG